GGGCGGAUGUCCGAGUGGCUAAAGGAGGCAGACUGUAAAUUUGCUAGCGAAAGCUUACGCUGGUUCGAAUCCAGCUCCGCCCA
rnacentral:tRNA from 2 species